UCCCUGGUGGUCCAGUGGCUAAGACUCCGUGCUGCCAGUGCAGGGGGCCCGGGUUCAAUCCCUGGUCAGGGAA
rfam:TPA: Bos taurus chromosome 13, whole genome shotgun sequence.